AUGAACGCUGGCGGCGUGCCUAAUACAUGCAAGUCGAGCGAACAGACGGGGAGCUUGCUCCUCUGACGUUAGCGGCGGACGGGUGAGUAACACGUGGAUAACCUACCUAUAAGACUGGGAUAACUUCGGGAAACCGGAGCUAAUACCGGAUAAUAUAUUGAACCGCAUGGUUCAAUAGUGAAAGACGGUUUUGCUGUCACUUAUAGAUGGAUCCGCGCCGCAUUAGCUAGUUGGUAAGGUAACGGCUUACCAAGGCAACGAUGCGUAGCCGACCUGAGAGGGUGAUCGGCCACACUGGAACUAAGACACGGUCCAGACUCCUACGGGAGGCAGCAGUAGGGAAUCUUCCGCAAUGGGCGAAAGCUUGACGGAGCAACGCCGCGUGAGUGAUGAAGGUCUUCGGAUCGUAAAACUCUGUUAUUAGGGAAGAACAAAUGUGUAAGUAACUAUGCACGUCUUGACGGUACCUAAUCAGAAAGCCACGGCUAACUACGUG
rnacentral:rRNA from 1 species